rnacentral:rRNA from 1 species
GGGCAACCUGACCGAGCAACGCCGCGUGAGUGAAGAAGGUCUUCGGAUCGUAAAGCUCUGUUAUUAGGGAAGAACAUAUGUGUAAGUAACUGUGCACAUCUUGACGGUACCUAAUCAGAAAGCCACGGCUAACUACGUGCCAGCAGCCGCGGUAAUACGUAGGUGGCAAGCGUUAUCCGGAAUUAUUGGGCGUAAAGCGCGCGUAGGCGGUUUUUUAAGUCUGAUGUGAAAGCCCACGGCUCAACCGUGGAGGGUCAUUGGAAACUGGAAAACUUGAGUGCAGAAGAGGAAAGUGGAAUUCCAUGUGUAGCGGUGAAAUGCGCAGAGAUAUGGAGGAACACC